AAGCGGCUCCUACUUCGCGCACGGCAGAAGCAUCUCGGGGUCUCUCCGCCGCCCCUUGGCCAUGGCCGCGGUGCCCACGGCGCCCGCUCCCCUGCGCUCCCGGGGCUCCCGCCGCUGCCGCCGCAGCCGCCGCCACCUCUGAGCCCCGCGGGCCGCCGCCACCCGCCCGCCCGCCCGGAUCGCACCCGCCGCCGCCGCCGCGCACCAUGCUACCUGCGGCCGCCCCGGCGAGGCCGCUCGCUGCUCCGAGAACCCUCGCUCGCGGCACUGACAGCCACCCUAGCGGAGCCUCCAACCUCCGGGGCUUGGAGCAUUUGAAAGCACUAUAGUUGUUUUCCCAGUUCACCCGACCCGCUUCGUUUGCCAUCCCAGCAAGCCUCUCGGAUUUGAGUGGAGGAGUCCGCUGCUUGGGUGCUCUCGCGCCCGCCCGCUCGCUCUCUUUAAACGCCUAACACCUACGUCUAUUUCUAAAACAUUCAAUACCAUUAACAAUCCAAAGGAAAAAAAAAAGGAGAAAAGGAAGGGAACUAUUACUGGGUUACUAUGCACUUGCGACUGAUUUCUUGGUUUUUUAUCAUUUUGAACUUUAUGGAAUACAUCGGCAGCCAAAACGCCUCCCGGGGAAGGCGCCAGCGAAGAAUGCAUCCUAACGUCAGUCAAGGCUGCCAAGGAGGCUGUGCAACGUGUUCAGAUUACAACGGAUGUUUGUCAUGUAAGCCCAGACUAUUUUUUGUUCUGGAAAGAAUUGGCAUGAAGCAGAUAGGAGUGUGUCUCUCUUCAUGUCCAAGUGGAUAUUAUGGAACUCGAUAUCCAGAUAUAAAUAAGUGUACAAAAUGCAAAGCUGACUGUGAUACUUGUUUCAACAAAAAUUUCUGCACAAAGUGUAAAAGUGGAUUUUACUUACACCUUGGAAAGUGCCUUGACAAUUGCCCAGAAGGGUUGGAAGCCAAUAACCAUACCAUGGAGUGCAUCAGUAUUGUGCACUGUGAGACCAGUGAAUGGAGUUCUUGGAGUCCAUGCAUGAAGAAAGGAAAAACAUGUGGCUUCAAAAGAGGGACUGAAACACGGGUGCGAGAAAUAAUACAACAUCCCUCAGCCAAGGGUAACCUGUGUCCUCCCACCAGUGAGACAAGAAAGUGUACAGUGCAAAGAAAGAAGUGUCAGAAGGGAGAAAGAGGAAAGAAAGGAAGAGAGAGGAAAAGAAAAAAACUUAUGAAAGAAGACAGUAAGGACCCAAUUCCUGAAAACAAGGGUCUAGAGCCCAGCAGAGAAACUCCAGAACAACGAGAAAACAAAGACAAACAGCAGCAGAAGAAGCGAAAGGUCCAAGAUAAACAACAGAAAUCGGUAUCAAUCAGCACUGUACACUAGAGGGUCCGUGAGAUUGUUUAAGACUCACGAUGCUGCUAUCUCAACCAGAUGCCCAGGACAGGUGCUCUAGUCAUUAGGACCAGAAAUGGACAACGUGUCAGUUACUGCUCAGUCUAAACAACAUUCCGAAUAGUUGCUAUAUUCUUCAUAAAAGCAUAGUUAACAACAAAGAGCCCAAAGUUCAAAGAAGGGAUGCUUUUGAAUUAUUAUUGAGCUUCUGUGCAUUUUAAAGAGACAAGAGAUUUUGUACAUAAUUAUCAGUAGGCUAUAAAAUAUAACAACAUAAUGAUGACAUCUGAAUAAGGAGCAUCUUUUCCCUAUUAGAAUAUUUUUUCAAGCUAUUGUUUUAAGAAGCAAAAGAUAGUUCUGAAAAUUCAAAGGUUCAGUAUCCCUUCAAAACAAAUAGGAGAUCAGGGGAAAGACACAUCAUUCAAAUGACAGUGUUGUUUUGUCCUGAGAUCUAGAAAAUGCUCAGAUGUUAGGGGCUGGCACUUCGAAUCAUAGAAAUUAUCGUCACAGAAACAACUGUUUUAAGAUCGGUUCUAUUGCCCACAUCCUGUCCUUCUGCAAGAAGCAUGGGAGUGCACACCAGAGUAAAAUACGCUUAUGGGAUUGGAAAUGAAAGGAAAAUAUGGAAGAAACCGUAGAGUUGGAGAGGACUUUUGUGUUUUACAAAACUGUGAAGGGUUGUGAUUACCUGGAGCAGCUUUCCAAUCUGUGUCAGCGCUGUGUGGUUCAGCCUCUGCUACCCCUCGGCUUAUAUGAAUCUGUAAACAUGUACCUGUUUCUUAUUUCCAGAAACAACAAUCAUACUUCUUAGAAGAAAAUUCGAUUUUUGGUGUAGAAAACAAAAGUGAGAGCAAGGAGAAAAUGACAUGUUUGCAAAGUCAUGUAUUUCCUUUCUCAAGGAGGGAAAAGCAAUUUCAUUAUGUGCUCAAAGCCCACCUGGAACUAAAAGGGAUACUACUUUCUACCAAGGCGUAUCUAGUAGCGGGGAAAGCCACCACAAUAAAUAUAUUUGUUGAUAGUUUUUAAAGUUUUGCUCAUUUUGUUUCAUUGUUUCAUUGGGAAAAAAAUGCAACUCUUAGAGACUCAUGAAUUUGGGAAGAAGAUCGUGUAUCUGUGCCAUUCAGAGCAUUUAUUUCUCAGAAUUUUUGUUUGCUUUUCAAUUGACCCAUGGAGAUUUCCUUGUAGAGUAUUAGGAGAUCUCUUUUGGGGAUUGAAGUCACCUAGCUGAAGGCCUCGCCCGUGUUCGACAGAGGACACAGCCCAGGGCAGGACGAGGCACCUCCAUGUGAGCAGCACAGACUCUCCUGACCCACCCUAGCCUUCUGUCAUACUGGGAGGACGCCCGGCUGCUCUGUUCAUGCUUCUUGCCCUCUGCAGAUCACUGUUUUAUCAAGAAUUUGCAGUGAGCCUGGAACCCCAUCUUUGAGCACUCUUCCUCCUCCAACUGUACAGCUCACGUCGACUGCUCAGCUUAAGCAGUUUUCCCACUCCUCUUUUCCUCUUCCCAAAUAUAAACAUUUUGAAUGAUG